rnacentral:rRNA from 1 species
UACGUAGGGGGCGAGCGUUGUCCGGAUUCAUUGGGCGUAAAGAGCUCGUAGGCGGCUUCGUAAGUCAGGUGUGAAACCUCCAGGCUCAACCUGGAGCCGCCACCUGAUACUGCGAUGGCUUGAGUCCAGUAGGGGCGCGCGGAAUUCCUGGUGUAGCGGUGAAAUGCGUAGAUAUCUGGAGGAACACCGGUGGCGAAGGCGGCAUCCUGGACCGACACUGACGCUGAGGAGCGAAAGCCAGGGGAGCAAACGGG